CCAGUAACGGCGAGUGAAGCGGCAACAGCUCAAAUUUGAAAUCUGGCCCCCAGGGCCCGAGUUGUAAUUUGCAGAGGAUGCUUUUGGCGCGGUGCCUUCCGAGUUCCCUGGAACGGGACGCCAUAGAGGGUGAGAGCCCCGUCUGGUCGGACACCAAGCCAGUGUAAAGCUCCUUCGACGAGUCGAGUAGUUUGGGAAUGCUGCUCUAAAUGGGAGGUAUAUGUCUUCUAAAGCUAAAUACCGGCCAGAGACCGAUAGCGCACAAGUAGAGUGAUCGAAAGAUGAAAAGCACUUUGAAAAGAGGGUUAAACAGUACGUGAAAUUGUUGAAAGGGAAGCGUUUGUGACCAGACUUGGGCCCGGUGAAUCAUCCAGCGUUCUCGCUGGUGCACUUCGCCGGGCCCAGGCCAGCAUCAGUUCGCCGCGGGGGAUAAAAGCUUCGGGAACGUGGCUCCCUCGGGAGUGUUAUAGCCCGUUGCAUAAUACCCUGCGGCGGACUGAGGUUCGCGCUCCGCAAGGAUGCUGGCGUAAUGGUCAUCAGCGACCCGUCUUGAAACACGGACCAAGGAGUCGUCUUCGUAUGCGAGUGUUCGGGUGUCAAACCCCUACGCGUAAUGAAAGUGAACGCAGGUGAGAGCUUCGGCGCAUCAUCGACCGAUCCUGAUGUUCUCGGAUGGAUUUGAGUAAGAGCAUACGGGGCCGGACCCGAAAGAAGGUGAACUAUGCCUGUAUAGGGUGAAGCCAGAGGAAACUCUGGUGGAGGCUCGCAGCGGUUCUGACGUGCAAAUCGAUCGUCAAAUAUGGGCAUG
rnacentral:rRNA from 1 species